GUGCUUGCUUUGGCAGCACAUAUAGUAAAAUUGGAACGAUAGAGAGAAGAUUAGCAUGGCCCCUGUGCAAGGAUGACAUGCAAAUCUGUGAAGCGUUCCAUAUUUUU